rnacentral:lncRNA from 1 species
UGCUUUUAGAGCUGCACAAAAGCUUCUGAAACCAAAACCAAACAAAUUUUCUUUGGUGUUGGCUGUGAAAAAUGUUUUUGCAUUUGAGUUUUUUUUCUUCAACAAAGGAACUUGAUGGUCUUUUGUAAUAGCUUGGCCUGACAAAGUUUGGGUAUUUUUUUCCUCUGUAGUUUUUCUUUUAGCUCAGUCCUUGAGAGGUCCUGCAGAUGCCACUGACAUUCUCCUGGAAGAACCCUCCAUCCUCUUCCUGGUCAGGAAAGGGACACAACUGGGCCCUGGAAGAAUGACUGGAUGGAGGGUGAAGGUGCUGAGAGUGGAGUUGUUCUGUGUUUGAGAGAAAAUGUGGAUGAACAUCCCUUACCCCUUGAUGAUGGAGCACUGUGGUGUCCCUGCCUGCCCUUCACACCAAAUGGCUCGGAGAAUAAAUCCCAGCAGAGCCGCAGUACAGCCGCUGUUCAGGAGGAGAUCCGGGAUGUUAAAGAAGCAUAAAUACAUAUUCAAAUACACGUUUAAAAGGAUGGCACCCUCGUGUUUAUCAGGGGAAAGGACACUUGGAGCACCUGUACCGAAAGGGAGAAGGUGAAGAAGCCUGUGAGCAUUCCCUGCCUCCUCUGAUCUUAUGCAGAUUCUAAACACAAGUCUGAACGCAAGCUCGAUGGCAACUCUCUGCUCCGGCUGCCAGGGCUGCAGCUCCAGCCGCUCCUCUCCGUCCUCCACCUUCUUUUUCCAAAGUAACAAAGCCAUUGGAUUUCCUCCCACCCCUUCCCUGCGCCUCCCCUCCCCCUCGCUGGCACCGGGGUUAUUUAUACAGAAUGUGGAAACAAUUUGCAGGAAAGUGAACAAUGUAAGCGGGAGCGAGGGAAGGGAGGCGAGUUUGCAGAGCACGCUGAGAGCCCCAGCGGUGGAACGCUGCUUUUGGGGGAGCACGGGGAGCAGGAUGUUUUCCUUUCUUCCUUCUCCCCUCUCCCACCAUCUCCCUGAGCUCCUUCCAUCCUGCUGGAGUCGAGGCCAAACCAGAGCAACGAGAUCUGAGUGA